CUCUCCUUAGCUCAGCUUGGUAGAGCGCUUGGUUUGGGACCAAGAGGUCGUAGGUUCAAAUCCUACAGGGGAGA
rnacentral:tRNA from 1 species